GGGCUAUUUAAAAGAUUAAAUGUCCUGUCCAUGUGAAUUGGUUAUGUUCAUCUGCGGCUUUACAACUCCUAUUAAUUACUGUAACACUUCCAAAAACACCACUACUGCUGUUUUAGCUGCUAAUGUAGCGUUUUAUAAAGAAGCUAACCUUCCAACGGAUAAUAACGGCUUUGUGAAGGACGGUUAGCUGCUAGCUAGCUACUCUGAUAGACCGUUAACAGUUAACGCUACUCACUAUCGUGUCGAAACCCACUCAUGUCACACUACACAACCACCAUUGCGACUCUUUCCAAAGGAUUUACCAUCUGCUAAAAUGCCGGGGUUCAUUGCUUCAACAAGUCCAGCAGGAUGGCUCUGAACUCCUCAUCCUCACACAGAUCUUACAAUGAGAAGGAUGAAGCACAAAACAACCACGCUGCAGCAUGAAGAGGCUGCCAUCCAUCCGAGUCUCUCAGGUCCAUGCGAGCUCCCCCCUCCAGCAGCAGCUCUGCAGCCUGCACGUAUCCACUUGCUGCUGCGAUGUGGAGCUGCGAUGACAGAGGAGGAACAAUGAUUACAUUUUUCCUAUAGUUCCUAUAGAAAUGCUCUGCACAUAAAAUCCAGCGUGGAUUUCACCCGUAAGCCACAAUUUAGAAGCCAGAGAAUAAUGUACUAGUACUAACAUGCUGACCAUACAGGACCUCACAAUACACCUGCAAAAAUGUAAUCAUUCAAACACCUUCAUCACGAAUGUUACGCUACAUUAGGUCGAUGGCAUUGUAAACAAAGCUCUGCCAUCAUUUCAAACUGAUGGGGUUCGGGCAAACCGAUCCAGAUGGCCUGAGACGACUCGCUCUGCUCUGCAGGUCAGAAAUCUAUUCUAUCAGGAUAUUAAGUCUAGUCUUCACCUACUUGUACCUCUCUGAACCACCGGUACUGUCGGUACUAACUUGUGUCAAACAGCGAAACAUUGUUCAAACCCAGUUAUUUACUUUACAUUCUAGCAAAGAUACCACAGUUUCCAGAGACACCAAAUAUGUCGAGCGCCAUUAGUUAGUUAGAAAAUAGAGAAAUCCAUCACACAGCUGCAGGUGACCUCUUGACCAGCAGUCCAACACUCAAAGAUAUUCAAUUUACUCUCAUAGAAGAAAUCAUCAUUAAAUAUUCACAUUUGAAUGAAGGCUGAGGCUUUUUGCUUGAAAAUAAAAAAAGGACUUGAUUAUUAAAACUGCUGCCGAUAAAUAUUGUAGCGACUAAGUGAUUAACCAACUGAUUAUUUCAGCUCUACAUCAUCUGCAUCAGGGAGGAAGCCUGAUGAUUUCUCAUGCAGUGUUAUUUGGUUUCUAUGGCAAUAACCUUACACACCACUCAAACGCUGACUGGAAUAAAUACAUCUCGAACAGAACUGAGCAACUGAUGGCGACGUGAGCUUAUACACACUCAAGUGUUUCUGAAGAGAGAAAGAAAUGCACACAACAUAAGAUCCGACAUUAUUAAUCUUCAUGCGGAAUUAGGAUUGUACCGGAACACAGCCCCGGGCACUACGGGGGCUCACACACACCCACACACACAAGCUUCUUCUAAAGAAUAUAAUUAAGUAACAACUCACUGAAAUAAAUCAAAAGCGACUAGGAAUGUAAAAAAGCCAAGAGAAGCCAAGACUUAAAAGACAAAUGAAUUGGAAAUAAAAAGGUAAUUACAGGCAGCAUUUUCUUUGUUUUUACAAACUACGGCAAUUUUAGUACAAGAUGUUCUUUCUCUGAUUCCUAGAAAGCAGGAAAGGGAGUACACUGCUUCAUGUUUAAAGAAUUGCAACAAUU